rnacentral:misc_RNA from 1 species
AACCAUAGAAACCUGCGGAGUACCUGCGGAAGGAUCAUUACAUUCAGUAGCCUAGCUACUUGUUUACACCCUUGUUUUUUUGCGCACUUCAUUGUAUCCCUCGGCGGGCUUGCUCGCCGGUUGGACAACAUUUAUAACCUUUUUUAAUCUUCAAUCAGCGUCUGAAUUAUAUUUAAUAAUUACAACUUUCAGCAAUGGAUCU